CAGUCUCAAUCCCAGAGGAGUCCUCACUCUUGAUCUCAGUCUCUGUUUGUAGAAUUCUCUCUGGAUCAAGGUGGAAGUGCUUUCUUUGGAUCAAGUUGGCAUGCUGAAAAAAACAGCACUGUCAUCAGUUUCAGCUUCAGAAGAGUCCUCACUCCUCACCUCAGUCUCUGGUUGUAAAUGUCCCUCUGGAUCAUCA